UGGUGACCGUUACCAACUCUUGAUAUAAGU
rnacentral:piRNA from 1 species